rnacentral:rRNA from 1 species
UACGAAGGGGGCUAGCGUUGCUCGGAAUUACUGGGCGUAAAGGGCGCGUAGGCGGAUGUUUAAGUCAGCGGUGAAAGCCCAGGGCUCAACCUUGGAACUGCCAUUGAUACUGGACAUCUUGAGUACGGGAGAGGUGAGUGGAACACCGAGUGUAGAGGUGAAAUUCGUAGAUAUUCGGUAGAACACCAGUGGCGAAGGCGACUCACUGGCCCGUUACUGACGCUGAGGCGCGAAAGCUAGGGGAGCAAACGGG